rnacentral:ncRNA from 1 species
CUGACCUCUGACCUCCUCCUUUUUUGAUCCUUCGAUGUCGGCUCUUCCUAUCGUUGCCAAGCAGAACUCGCCAAACGCUGGAUUGUUCACCCAACAAUAGGGAACGUGAGCUGGGUUUAGACUGUCGUGAGAUGGGUU